GGUGCUUUCUAGGGCCAGCAAGAGGAAUGCACAAAUGGAUGGCUCAAGCAUAAUGGUACCAUCAUGUCACUGACCACCACACAGCUGGUGGCAUUGGCAACAGCCCACACUUCAUAAUACAAAGAAGUGAUCCUUGUACAAAUGUAUCGAUUAUAAGAAAGCAUACAACUUUUUACUAGCCCUUGACAGAGAACAAACGAAAGAGGAAACAAAAUGUAUUUGAUAAUACCAAUGGAUACAAACUGGUCAGUUCAUUAAAUACAAUCUGCUGACAUGAGAAAACUCCAUCACAGAAGUCAGAUACUGAGGUGAAUAACUUGAGCCAAGACGCCACUUAGUAAUCUCAGUGCCACUAGUAGCACAAAAGCUCCAGAAAUAUUUCAGGAAAGGACUGUUUAAAACUGAUGUCACAAGGAACAAUCCUAGGCUGUUCCUGAGCCCGUCAGAUCAGGAUUAGGGAGACAGAACUUCUUUCCUUCAUACAUGUAAUUCUGGAAUAAAGCAGAUUAAAAUGCUGCCAGAACCACUGCAGGCACCUGCAUUGUUUCUAGAGCACAGACCAGGCAAAAGCUAAAGUAGAAGUUCAACAUCACCAGACACAUAAUGCCUAUAUAUUCUGGGUGAGGAGUUACCGCUCUUAUGAAAGCAACUGCAGACUGUGGUGGAAGAGAUUUCUUAGGUAUUAAUCUUGCAAAGACCCACAUGGUGCUCAGCAGGGAACAUGGAAGUGCUGCAUGCUGUUGUUACUACUACAAACCACCACAGAGAGGUCAAGAUGUGAAGGAGGAAGUUCAAUUAAUUUGUUCUCGGAAUAUCUCCAGAAGAUAUGAUUUUGAAUUCAGUGUGAAAAACAGUUUCUACAAUGUGAUUGAGC
rnacentral:lncRNA from 1 species